UACGUAGGCAGCGAGCGUUGUUCGGAGUUACUGGGCGUAAAGGGUGUGUAGGCGGUUUUCUAAGUUUGGUGUUAAAUCUCCCGGGUCAACUGGGAGGGUGCGCCGAAAACUGGAGGGCUAGAGUACGGGAUGGGAGAGUAGAAUUCCUGGUGUAGCGGUGAAAUGCGUAGAUAUCAGGAGGAAUACCGGUGGUGUAGACGGCUCUCUGGACCGUAACUGACGCUGAGACACGAAAGCGUGGGUAGCAAACAGG
rnacentral:rRNA from 1 species